AGAAUCAAGGCAUAGUAGAUAAAGUGCUUGACUUGGAAUCAAGAAAACCUGAAUUUGAGCUGUGUGAUUCUG
rnacentral:tRNA from 1 species